CGCUGGCGGUAUGCCUAACACAUGCAAGUCGUACGAGAGUUUUUAACUCAAGUGGCGGACGGGUGAGUAACACGUGAGAAUUUACCUUUAGGAGGGGGACAACAACUGGAAACGGUUGCUAAUACCCCAUAUGCUUUCGAGUGAAAUGAAUUUAUUCGCCUGAAGAGAAGCUCGCGGCUGAUUAGCUUGUUGGUAGGGUAAGAGCCUACCAAGGCGACGAUCAGUAUCUGGUUUGAGAGGACGAUCAGACACACUGGAACUGAGACACGGUCCAGACUCCUACGGGAGGCAGCAGUGGGGAAUUUUCCGCAAUGGGCGAAAGCUUGACGGAGCAAUACCGCGUGAGGGAAGACGGCCUAUGGGUUGUAAACCUCUUUUUUCAGGGAGGAAUUCAAUGACGUGUACCUGAAGAAUAAGCAUCGGCUAACUCCGUGCCAGCAGCCGCGGUAAGACGGAGGAUGCAAGUGUUAACCGGAAUCACUGGGCGUAAAGCGUCUGUAGGUUGUUAAACAAGUCAACUGUUAAAUCUUGAGGCUCAACUUCAAAAUCGCAGUCGAAACUGUUUGACUAGAGUAUAGUAGGGGUAAAGGGAAUUUCCAGUGGAGCGGUGAAAUGCGUAGAUAUUGGAAAGAACACCAAUGGCGAAGGCACUUUACUGGGCUAUUGCUGACACUCAGAGACGAAAGCUAGGGUAGCAAAUGGGAUUUGAUACCCCAGUAGUCCUAGCCGUAAACAAUGGAUACUAGAUGUUGAACAGAUCGACCUGUGCAGUAUCAAAGCUAACGCGUUAAG
rnacentral:rRNA from 1 species